rnacentral:rRNA from 1 species
CCGACGGUGAGGGAUGAAAGCUGGGGGAGCAAACCGGAUUAGAUACCCGGGUAGUCCCAGCUGUAAACGAUGCAAACUCGAUGAUGCGUUGGCUUAUUGCUAGCGCAGUGUCGCAGGGAAGCCGUUAAGUUUGCCGCCUGGGAAGUACGUACGCAAGUAUGAAACUUAAAGGAAUUGGCGGGGGAGCACCACAAGGGGUGAAGCCUGCGGUUCAAUUGGAGUCAACGCCUGAAACCUUACCCGGAGAGACAGCAGAAUGAAGGUCAAGCUGAAGACUUUACCAGACAAGCUGAGAGGUGGUGCAUGGCCGUCGCCAGCUCGUGCCGUGAGAUGUCCUGUUAAGUCAGGUAACGAGCGAGAUCCCUGCCUCUAGUUGCCACUAUUACACCCUGGUGUAGUAGGGCGAAUUAGGGGGACCGCCGCAGUUAAUGCGGAGGAAGGAAGGGGCCACGGCAGGUCAGUAUGCCCCGAAACUCUGGGGCCACACGCGGGCUGCAAUGGUAGCGACAAUGAGUUCCAAAAUCGAAAGAUGGAGGUAAUCCCUAAACGCUACCACAGUUGUGAUUGAGGGCUGCAACUCGCCCUCAUGAACAUGGAAUCCCUAGUAACCGCGUGUCAUUAUCGCGCAGUGAAUACGUCCCUGCUCCUUGCACUCACCGCCCGU